UACGUAGGGUGCGAGCGGUAAUCGGAAUUACUGGGCGUAAAGCGUGCGCAGGCGGUUAUGUAAGACAGAGGUGAAAUCCCCGGGCUCAACCUGGGAACUGCCUUUGUGACUGCUUGACUAGAGUACGGCAGAGGGGGAUGGAAUUCCGCGUGUAGCAGUGAAAUGCGUAGAUAUGCGGAGGAACACCGAUGGCGAAGGCAAUCCCCUGGGCCUGUACUGACGCUCAUGCACGAAAGCGUGGGGAGCAAAUAGG
rnacentral:rRNA from 1 species